GAGUACGGCCGCAAGGCUGAAACUUAAAGGAAUUGGCGGGGGAGCACUACAACGGGUGGAGCCUGCGGUUUAAUUGGACUCAACGCCGGAAAACUCACCGGGGGCGACAGCAAUAUGUAGGUCAGGUUAAAGGUCUUACCUGAAUCGCUGAGAGGAGGUGCAUGGCCGUCGUCAGUUCGUACUGUGAAGCAUCCUGUUAAGUCAGGCAACGAGCAAGACCCGUGCCCACUGUUACCAGCAUAUCCUUUAUGGAUGAUGGGGACUCUGGGGGGACCGCUGCUGCUAAAGCAGAGGAAGGUGCGGGCUACGGUAGGUCAGUAUGCCCCGAAUCUCCCGGGCUACACGCGGGCUACAAUGGUUGGGACAAUGGGUAUCUACUCCGAAAGGAGUUGGCAAUCUCUUAAACCCAAUCGUAGUUCGAAUUGAGGGCUGUAACUCGCCCUCAUGAAGCUGGAAUCCGUAGUAAUCGCGUUUCAACAUAGCGCGGUGAAUCUGUCCCUGCUCCUUGCACACACCGCCCGUCAAACCAUCCGAGUGAGGUAUGGGUGAGGGCACGAACUUAGUGUCGUGCUCGAACCUAAAUUUCGCAAGGAGGGUUAAGUCGUAACAAGGUAGCCGUAGGGGAAUCUGCGGCUGGAUCACCUCCU
rnacentral:rRNA from 1 species